UUUUUUUUUUUUUAAGACAGUCUCACUGUGUCACGAAGGCUGGAGUGCAGUGGGGUGAUCUCAGUCCACUGCGACCUCCACCUCUCAGGUUCAAGUGAUUCUCAUGCCUCAGCCUCCCGAGUAGCCUGGAUUACAAGUGCCCACCACCACACCAGAUGAAUUUUUGUAUUUUUAGUAGAGACGUGAAUCACCAUGUUGGCCAGGCUGGUCUCAAACUCCUGACCUCAGGUGAUUCUCCCAUCUCAGCCUCCCAAAGUGCUGGGAUUACAGGCGUGAGCCACUGCACUCAGCCCAGGUUGUCUCAACUUCUUCCUUCCUCCCUGACCUUUCCUCCUGUCUCCUCCUCCACCUCCUAUCACCUAAACAUAGGGAAUCUUCAAUGAUCUCUUUGGGUUGAGCAGACUUAUUUAUCAGCAAUGCCUUGUAUGUUCCUUACCUCCCCUUCCCAUCACACAGUACUAACCACUAUAAGAUCACGGCUUUACCUCCCCUUCAGUAUUUGCACUAUUUCUAGUGUUUGCCACACUCAUCUGACAAGGAAAGAGGCAAGCUAAGAGCACACAUGGGUCCCUGAGGGUCCCUGAGGCUCACAGGUAUUGAGGUCUGCUCUGGAAGAUGCCUCGUGAGCCCUGGUGGCCAAAGUCUCAGCAUGGAGUGCAUUGGCCAGUGAGGAGUGUAUAGCCUUCAAAGGACCACUUGGAGGCUGCCAUAGUUUCCUAGAAGUCGAGUGAGUCAGAUCCCCAAAGACUCAGCAGUCACUCAGCCAGAGGGAAUGGGCCAAAGCAACUCCUGGCACUCAGACUUUGAAGCUGUUCUGGGAGUCAGGUAAGUUGGAAGGCAGCAUGAUUGUGUCAGCCCAGAAAACUUAGUUCCUUAAAAUUACGAAAGUUCUAUAGUAGCUGACUUUGCCUUUUCCCUACGUUAGAAAGAGAAUCCAUAGGCUUUUGGUUAAUAUGAGAUACUACGAUCAAGAAAGGCAGCAGCUGGAGUACAGGCCUAGGCCCUCAGAACAUCCCUUUAUCUUUGGAGGAAGGACAAGGCUCCAUUUGUGAGCCUCCAUUUGCAAGAGUGAGUGGACCUUGUUGCUCCUGCCAAGAACUGGGAAAACUCUUAAUUGGAAAGACACCAAGCUGUGGCUUUCUAUGAGAGCAGAUCCUGACUUGGACUUCAAAGGAAUGAUCCCCAGAAGGGUUAGUUAAAUAUGUGUGUUGAGGAUUUCAAAAAGAUAUGAAUGCUUACUAUGUGUCAAGCCCUGUGCUAGUCACUUUAUGUAUGUGUGAGAAAAGUAAGUUAAGACCAAUUAAUUUUUUCAUCCUCCUAGGGAUGAGCACACCCAUAUACUCUACAACCAGUAAAAAGAAUAAGACAAUUCUGAUAUGUAAUAAUCUUCAAUAUGGGCUGGGCGUGGUGGUGGCUCACGCCUGUAAUUCCAACACUUUGGGAGUCAAGGCGGGUGAAUCACCCGAGGUCAGGAGUUCAAGACCAGCCUGGUUAACAUAGUGAGAUCUCAUCUCUACAAGAAAUUUUUAAAAAUUAGCUGGGCAUGUUGGUACACAUCUGUAGUCCCAGCUAUUCAGGAGGUUGAGGCAGGGAGGAUCACUUGAGCCCAGAGGCUGGAGGCUACAGUGAGCUAUGAUUGUACCACUGUACUGCAGCCUGGGCAACAAAGUGAUACCCUGUCUCAAAAUAAAUAAAUAAACAAAAAUGAAUAAAUGUAUGGCCAGAAUCCUCAAGUGGACCUUCAGUGGUAUAUAGCC
rnacentral:lncRNA from 1 species